GGAGAGCCGGAGGGGCAUGCUGGCUUGUCCCAGGUGCUGUUUUUGUUUGUUUUGAUGCAAAGAGGACAGUUUAGAAGACCUCCUUUUUAUCCAGGAGAUCCUCCCAGAAAAAGCAUCAUAGAACCUGCCUGCCUGCCUUUCAUUUUUCUCUUGCCCUAUCCUUUGUGGUAGAGGAGCCUGGAUGCUGUUACCUGUGUGAAAGGACAGGGUCAGAGGAGCAUCCUUUGGGCUUGAGCUAGAAUGUGUUGCCAAACACCAUGCCUUUCAAAAUGGUUCUCCGGCUCAUUCUUAGAAUCCUGCUUUGGGGACUGGUACUUUUAUAUGGAACGUGGGGUCCAAAUGACACAGAGAAAUUUUAGGUUUACAGCAAAAUUGAAGGCAAGGACAGCUAUUUCCUAUAUACCCCCGCUGCUAUCUACACAGCCUCAUCCACGAAGACAACACAGAUGCCAGUCACACAAAGGGAAUAUCUGCUCACACACCUUCAAACAGGAGGGUCACAAAGCCGCCAGGAGGAUGAUGGGAAGGGAAUCAAACCAAUACCUCCGCGACACAAACGGCCUUCAGAACCAACUGGCAAAACGCCCGAACAGCACUUUGUACUCCAAAGAGAAGUUAGCCGGUGCACACCAGUGGACUUACUCAGCCUUGGAGCUUGUCAGCUCUUCCGGACGCAUGUUUCUGCUCCACCAAGGAAGAGAAGAGAGUACGCUGGCAGCCGCUGCAGGGCAGGGGAGAAGCGUGGAGGCUCCCCGAAACAAGUGGUUUCAGCAGCUGCUAGAAACUUCCCCCUAAGACCUCCUCCCGGGGCCGGUGAGCCAGGAGCGGGGGUUCCUCGCAGCCAUCCCUGCGCGUUGUCCUGGCCUCGAGUGAAUUCAGGAAAACCCUGGAGUCAGCUCAGCAGCCCCACCUGAGGCACCAAAAACUGUAAUUGAAAGUGUCUGGGUCCAGCUGCCCACCCAUCAAAAACCGAUAAAGAGGCAAGGUUGGUGGAAAGGAAAGCUUGCUUUACUUCCGAGGCCAGAAACAGAGGGGAGGGGGCCAUGCCUGCAAAGGCCGACUCCCGCUGCUGAUGCUCACUGGGCAAGAGCUCUUAUAGAUGGAAAGAGGGGGCUAAUGCAGGAAUGGCACCGUCAGCUCUGCCAAUCAUCUUGAAAUUGGUCCUGCGGUGAUCUGGUCAAGUGUACUUGUCUUCAGUUCCAGUUCCAGGAUCGACGUGCUCCCAUUUCUUUGACGCCAGCUCUCAGAGUUGUGGCGGCUUAUGUCGUGGUUAGUCUGGUCAUCAUGUAGUUAACCUCUUUCACCUGGAGGGGGUUUCAGUGCCCACAGAAAGGCUCAAAGGAGAUGGCUCAGAAUAUCAUCUAUAGCCCUUGAGGAUGAAUGAAAUUAAACAUAUUCUUUGGCUUAAGUUUUCCAUGGACAAAAGGCAGACAGAGCACGUGGUGGGGUGGGGGUGCACAGUGUCUUGCUCUGUUUCAAUAUCAAUUAGAAUAUUACCUGCUGUACUCAAAUACAGCGACAAAGUGGAAUACAAAUACACACACACACACACACACACACACACACACACACACAGAUCCCCACAGCUGACCAUCAUUAAGAAUUUUCCUACAGCUUGAAGCAUCAGAUAUUUGUAAAGGAUUAGGGCAGCUUGGUUCUUCCUCAUUGUAACAGAGAAGACAAGCC
ensembl:lncRNA